GUCUAUGGCCAUGCCACCAUAAACAAGCCCAGUCCUGUCUGAUCUUGGAAGCUAAGCAGGGUUGGGCCUGGUUAGUACUUGGAUGGGAGACCACCUAGGGAGACCAGGUGCUGUAGGUG
rnacentral:rRNA from 1 species